UACGGGGGGAGCAAGCGUUGUUCGGAUUUACUGGGCGUAAAGGGCGCGUAGGCGGCCACCGCAAGUCAAUUGUGAAAUCUCCGGGCUUAACUCGGAAAGGUCAACUGAUACUGCGGGGCUAGAGUGCGGAAGGGGCAACUGGAAUUCUCGGUGUAGCGGUGAAAUGCGUAGAUAUCCGGAGGAACACCGGUGGCGAAGGCAGCUUCCUGGACCGACACUGACGCUGAGGCGCGAAAGCUAGGGGAGCAAACGGG
rnacentral:rRNA from 1 species